rnacentral:rRNA from 1 species
GGCACAAGCGGUGGAGCAUGUGGUUUAAUUCGAUGAUACGCGAGGAACCUUACCUGGGCUCGAACGUAAGAUGACUGUAGGUGAAAGCUUACAUCUCUUCGGAGCAUUUUACGAGGUGCUGCAUGGUUGUCGUCAGCUCGUGCCGUGAGGUGUCGGGUUAAGUCCCAUAACGAGCGCAACCCCUACCUUUAGUUGCCAUCAGGUUAAGCUGGGGACUCUAAAGGAACUGCCUACGCAAGUAGUGAGGAAGGCGGGGAUGACGUCAAAUCAGCACGGCCCUUACGUCCAGGGCUACACACGUGCUACAAUGGCCGAUACAGAGGGCAGCUACCUGGUGACAGGAUGCAAAUCUCCAAAGUCGGUCUCAGUUCGGAUCGGAGUCUGCAACCCGACUCCGUGAAGUUGGAUUCGCUAGUAAUCGCGCAUCAGCCAUGGCGCGGUGAAUACGUUCCCGGGCCUU